rnacentral:rRNA from 1 species
UGGGGAAUAUUGGACAAUGGGCGAAAGCCUGAUCCAGCCAUGCCGCGUGUGUGAAGAAGGUCUUCGGAUUGUAAAGCACUUUAAGUUGGGAGGAAGGGCAGUAAGCGAAUACCUUGCUGUUUUGACGUUACCGACAGAAUAAGCACCGGCUAACUCUGUGCCAGCAGCCGCGGUAAUACAGAGGGUGCAAGCGUUAAUCGGAAUUACUGGGCGUAAAGCGCGCGUAGGUGGUUCGUUAAGUUGAAUGUGAAAGCCCCGGGCUCAACCUGGGAACUGCAUCCAAAACAGGCGAGCUAGAGUAGGGCAGAGGGUGGUGGAAUUUCCUGUGUAGCGGUGAAAUGCGUAGAUAUAGGAAGGAAAACCAGUGGCGAAGGCGACCACCUGGGCUCAUACUGACACUGAGGUGCGAAAGAGUGGGGAGCAAACAGG